GACGAACGCUGGCGGCGUGCUUAACACAUGCAAGUCGAACGGAAAGGCCCUGCUUUUGUGGGGUGCUCGAGUGGCGAACGGGUGAGUAACACGUGAGUAACCUGCCCUUGACUUUGGGAUAACUUCAGGAAACUGGGGUAAUACCGGAUAGGAGCUUCUGCUGCCUGGUGGGGUUGGAAAGAUUCGGCGGUUGGGGGUGGACUCGCGGCUUAUCAGCUUGUUUGUGGGGUAGUGGCUUACCAAGGCUUUGACGGGGAGCCGGCCUGAGAGGGUGACCGGCGACAUUGGGACUGAGAUACGGCCCAGACUCCUACGGGAGGCAGCAGUGGGGAAUAUUGCACAAUGGGCGGAAGCCUGAUGCAGCAACGCCGCGUGCGGGAUGACGGCCUUCGGGUUGUAAACCGCUUUCGCCUGUGACGAAGCGUGAGUGACGGUAAUGGGUAAAGAAGCACCGGCUAACUACGUG
rnacentral:rRNA from 1 species